rnacentral:rRNA from 1 species
UACGGAGGGUGCAAGCGUUGUCCGGAUUUAUUGGGUUUAAAGGGUGCGUAGGUGGGUCUUUAAGUCUGGUUUGAAAGCCGGCGGCUUAACCGUCGGAUGUGGCUGGAAACUGGAGGUCUUGAAUGGGCUGGCGGCUGCCGGAACGGGUCAUGUAGCGGUGAAAUGCAUAGAUAUGACCCAGAACACCGAUUGCGAAGGCAGGCAGCUACGGCCAUUAUUGACACUGAGGCACGAGAGCAUGGGUAGCGAACAGG